UACGUAGGGCGCAAGCGUUAUCCGGAAUUAUUGGGCGUAAAAGAGCUCGUAGGCGGUUUGUCGCGUCUGCCCGUGAAAAGUCCGGGGCUCAACUCCGGGCCUGCAGUGGGUACGGGCAGACUAGAGUGCGGUAGGGGAGACUGGAAUUCCUGGUGUAGCGGUGAAAUGCGCAGAUAUCAGGGAGGAACACCGGUGGCGGAAGGCGGGUCUCUGGGCCGUAACUGACGCUGGAGGAGCGGAAAGCGUGGGGAGCGAACAGG
rnacentral:rRNA from 1 species